UGCGCAGGCGGAAUGAUAAGUCAGUGGUGAAAGCCUACAGCUUAACUGUAGAAAUGCCAUUGAUACUGUCGUUCUUGAGUACAGUUGAAGUGGGCGGAAUGUGUCAUGUAGCGGUGAAAUGCAUAGAUAUGACACAGAACACCGAUAGCGAAGGCAGCUCACUAAGCUGAAACUGACGCUCAGGCACGAAAGCGUGGGGAGCGAACAGGAUUAGAUACCCUGGUAGUCC
rnacentral:rRNA from 1 species